GACGAACGCUGGCGGCGUGCUUAACACAUGCAAGUCGAACGAAGUGGCGAACGGGUGAGUAACGCGUAAUCAACCUGCCCUUCAGAGGGGGACAACAGUUGGAACCGACUGCUAAUACCGCAAACUGAAGGAGGGGAUUGCGUCUGAUUAGCUAGUUGGAGGGGUAACGGCCCACCAAGGCGAGUAUCAGUAGCCGGUCUCAGAGGAUGAACGGCCACCUUGGGACUGAGACACGGCCCAUACGCCUACGGUAGGCAGCAGUGGGGAAUCUUCCGCAAUGGACGUAAGUCUGACGGAGCAAUGCCGCGUGAGUGAUGACGGCCCUCGGGUUGUAAAGCUCUGUUAAUCGGGACGCGGUACCGGAAUAGAAGGCCACGGCCAACUACGUGCCAGCAGCCGCGGUAAUUC
rnacentral:rRNA from 1 species